rnacentral:rRNA from 1 species
GACAGAGGUGCCGAGCGUUAGGCGGAAUCACUGGGCUUAAAGCGUGUGUAGGCGGAUGGGUAAGUACCUUGUGAAAUCCCACGGCUCAACCGUGGAACUGCUCGGUAUACUGCUCGUCUUGAGCCAACUAGGGGCGACCGGAACAAACGGUGGAGCGGUGAAAUGCGUAGAUAUCUGGAGGAACACCGGUGGCGAAGGCGGCAUCCUGGACCGAGAUUGACGCUGAGGCGCGAAAGCCAGGGGAGCAAACGGG